GAUUCAAAACAAAUAUCUCCAAUCGAUAUUUCCAUCUAUUUCGAUCUUUUCGUCUUCUCCCAAUCUGAAAAAUGAAACCUAUGUUCUCUUAUUCAUUGGCUGCUUUAAAUUAGAUCACAUACUUAACCCUUUCUUUCUUGCCUUUUCAGUUAUUCUUCUCCAUUUCUUCUUUCUCCUCUUCUUCAAAUCCACAAACGUUGUUACAACAGAGCAUUGAUUCUCAGAUUACCCAGAUAGGAUUGAAUCAGCUUUAUGAUGUCGUCAACGUUUAUAAUCGAUCCAAGCAACGCACCGAUACAAUCAUGUUUGGCAGACGCUCAAGAUUUUGGGUCGAGUCCACACGCCGUCUCGGAUCCAUUUGGGGAUGCUUUCUAAUGCCAUGAGAUGUCGAAGAAACUAACGACAGAUUCUUCAGUUAGAGGAUUCAGGCAGGUGAAGCAGCGAUGGAUCAGGGAGGAUGAGAUGGUUGUGCCUCCAAGGAAGGAGCCUGAGAUAGAGAAGAAACAAAAACUGGAUCAUGAACCUCAGUCGAAGUUGGGAGAAGAAAAGGAGAGUAAGGAGAGGAAGCAGAAAGCUUUAAAGGAGAUAGAGAUGGGUAUGCGGCUACAAGGCCCUUUGAAACAAUUAUCAAGAAUUACUCACAACCAUAGAAAUUGAUGAUGAAGAUAUCUCUUUAUCACAAACGUGCUGCUGCUCAUUGGAGAUGACAAAGGACACAAAGGUGGAUAUCAGAAGCUUGGUAAGGAAAACACACAAAUGAGAGUUCCAAGUGGAAAUGGAGCCGAUAGUGGCUCAGUGGAGAUCUCUGUUGGAUCAAGUUCGCUUAACUGGUCUCGACCAAAGAACAUUAAGAAGAAAACACUUGGGAGUCAAAAAUGAGUUGAGCAACUAUAGUGGUGGCUCUGCACUAAUUAACGGUGCCAGAGUAGAUGGUGAGAUGCAUGCUGCCACUGGGUCUCUUCCUCCAAUUGAGUGUUUUUUAUGUGAUCUCUGUCAUCGGCAUUCUGAAAAGUGGUCAAAAGACUACUACAAAAGAGUGAUCUAUGUUGCUUGAGAUCAAGGGUAAAGUCAGAUUAGAUGCAUUUGAGAAAUUUGUUCGAGAGCUCCCGAAUUCCAGGAGUCGUGCUGUAUGUUUUUCGGCUUGGAAUUUUACAUUAAUUGCUUGAAAGCUGUCUACUUGGCUAAAAUAAUAGGACUUACUUGUCCUACUUGAUAAACCCUUUCCCAGUAGCUGACUUGUGUCCUUAUAUAUAAAUCUUACUUUUAUAUUACAGGUUAUGUGUUUUGUCUGCAAA